GAUGAACGCUAGCGAUAGGCUUAACACACGCAAGUCGAGGGGCAGCACAAGGUAGCUUGCUAUCUGGGUGGCGACCGGCGCACGGGUGCGUAACGCGUAUGCAACUUGCCCUAUACAGGAGGAUAACCCGUCGAAAGACGGACUAAUACUGCGUAUGCUCACAACUUGGCAUCAAGUGGUGAGGAAAGAAAUUCGGUAUAGGAUAGGCAUGCGUCCCAUUAGCUUGUUGGUGAGGUAACGGCUCACCAAGGCAACGAUGGGUAGGGGAACUGAGAGGUUUAUCCCCCACACUGGUACUGAGACACGGACCAGACUCCUACGGGAGGCAGCAGUGAGGAAUAUUGGUCAAUGGGCGCGAGCCUGAACCAGCCAAGUCGCGUGAAGGAUGACUGUCUUAUGGAUUGUAAACUUCUUUUAUACGGGAAUAACAAGAGUCACGUGUGACUCCCUGCAUGUACCGUAUGAAUAAGCAUCGGCUAACUCCGUG
rnacentral:rRNA from 1 species